CCUACGGGUGGCAGCAGUGGGGAAUAUUGCACAAUGGGGGAAACCCUGAUGCAGCGACGCCGCGUGAGUGAAGAAGUAAUUCGUGAUGUAAAGCUCUAUCAGCAGGGAAGAAAAUGACGGUACCUGAGUAAGAAGCCCCGGCUAACUACGUGACAGCAGCCGCGGUAAUACGUAGGGGGCAAGCGUUAUCCGGAUUUACUGGGUGUAAAGGGAGCGUAGACGGCAGUGCAAGUCUGGAGUGAAAGGCGGGGGCUCACCCCCGGGACUGCUCUGGAAACUGUACGGCUGGAGUGCAGGAGAGGUAAGUGGCAUUCCUAGUUUAGCGGUGACAUGCGUAGCUAUUAGGAGGCACCCCAGUGGCGACGGCGGCUUACUGGACUGUAACUGACGUUGAGGCUC
rnacentral:rRNA from 1 species